rfam:Parcubacteria (Wolfebacteria) bacterium GW2011_GWC1_43_10 TV58_C0004, whole genome shotgun sequence.
UUUUUUGAGAGUUUGAUCCUAGCUCAGGAUGAACGCUGGCGGCGUGGAUAAGGCAUGCAAGUCGAACGAUCAUUCGCUUCGCUCAUUGUAGCGAUGCGAAUAUGCGAAUCUGCUAAUAAUACGAAUAAAAACAUUUGUAUAAUUAGUAUUAUUUGUAUAUUGGUAUCGAUACAGCGAGCGGAGCGAGUGGUAGUGGCGAACGAGUCAGUAACACCUUGGUUACGUACCCCGAAGUGGAGCAUAGCCAGCCGAAAGGUUGGGUAAUUCUCCAUAAUCCCGCAAGGGUAAAGUCGCAAGACGCUUUGGGAUCGGCCUAGGCCCGAUCAGCUUGUUGGUGAGGUAACGGCUCACCAAGGCUACGACCGGUAGGGGUGCUGAGAGGCAGUUCCCCGACGACGAGACUGAGACACGGCUCGUACACCUACGGGUGGCAGCAGUCGAGAAUAUUCCACAAUGGGCGAAAGCCUGAUGGAGCGACGCCGCCGCCUAAAUUUUUGGCGAGGCUGGAAAUGGCGCAGAGCUUCGACGGUAACGUCGGAUAGGAAAACUUGGCUUAUAUGCUGGAACAUUUUUUAUCGUCCGCUGAUAUUUCUCUAUACAAGAGAACGCGAUAAAAAAUAAUCAGCAGGGAAGUCGUAAUUGACCCCUCAGAGACUUCGUUGAUUAAACGAGAUAGAUGUUUUUGAACGUCUAUAAUAUGCCAGGCCCCCAUAAAAUGGGGUGAUGAUAUAGUCCAAUUAGUUCGCCAAAAACUUUGGCGGGCCAGCAGCAGCGGUAAUACAGAGACCUCGAGCGUUGUCCGGAUUUAUUGGGCGUAAAGGGCGCGUAGGAUUCUCUUUGCAUCUCCAGUCAAAUAUUGAGGCUUAACCUCAAAACCGCUGGAGAGAUGAAAGAGAUUGAGGGUGCCAGAGGCAAGCGGAACGCACGGUGUAGGGGUGAAAUCCGUUGAUAUCGUGCGGAACACCAUAGGCGAAGGCGGCUUGCUGGGGCAUUCCUGACUCUGAGGCGCGAAAGCGUGGGGAGCAAAAAGGAUUAGAUACCCUUGUAGUCCACGCCCUAAACUAUGUUCGCUGGCUGUCGGGAGUAUCGACCCUCUCGGUGGCGAAGCUAACGCGUUAAGCGAACCGCCUGGGAAGUACGGCCGCAAGGCUAAAACUCAAAGGAAUAGACGGGGACUCGCACAAGCGGUGGAGCAUGAGGUUUAAUUCGAUGGUAAGCGAAACACCUCACCAGGGCUUGAAAUCCCAACGACGUCUCGCCGAAAGGCGUGAUUCUCCAGGUUUACUUGGAGCGUUGGGGCAGGUGUUGCACGGUUGUCGUCAGCUCGUGGCUUGAGUUGUUCCCUUAAGUGGGUCAACGAGCGCAACCCCUGUUGCCUGUUACAAGUGUCAGGCAAGACUGCCCAGCUCUUUUGGCAGUAUUAGAUUUUGUUGAUAGUAUGUGAGUAUGUUCUAUGUUUAUCUGAUAAAAAGUUUAAAAAGUGAUUUUCUGUAUGUCGGUACUACCGAUGAUUUAAGAAGAAGAUUUGCAGAACAUAGUAGUGGAAGAGAACUAUCAACAAAAUCUUACGCGCCUUUUAAGUUAAUUUAUUGCGAAGCCUAUCGGAGUAAGUAAGAAAGAUGCUUUGAUUAGAGAGAAAAAAUUAAAACAUCAUGGCAGCGUAAUUGGUCAUCUUAAAAGGCGCGUCAAACAUAGUUUAUUAGAAUAGUGCCAAAAGAGCUGGGAGGAAGGAGGGGAUGACGUCAAAUCAGCGUGACCCUUUGAUGCCCUGGGCGACACUCAUGCUACAAUGGCAGGUACAAUGGGUAGCCAAGCCGUAAGGCGGAGCCAAUCCCAUCAAAACUUGCCCCAGUUCGGAUUGGAGUCUGCAACUCGACUCCAUGAAGCCGGAAUCGCUAGUAAUCGCGGAUCAGCACGCCGCGGUGAAUACGUUCUCGAGUCUUGUACUCAAAAUUAAAGGCGCUGGGCAGUAUUUUUUACGAGAAGGUUAAAAUCCUUC